UACGGAGGGGGCUAGCGUUGUUCGGAAUUACUGGGCGUAAAGCGCACGUAGGCGGCUUUGUAAGUUAGAGGUGAAAGCCCAGGGCUUAACCCUGGAAUUGCCUUUAAGACUGCAUCGCUAGAAUCGUGGAGAGGUAAGUGGAAUUCCGGAGUGUAGAGGUGAAAUUCGUAGAUAUUGGAAGAACACCAGUGGCGAAGGCGACUUACUGGCUCAUUACUGACGCUGGAG
rnacentral:rRNA from 1 species